AUUGAACGCUGGCGGCAGGCCCAACACAUGCAAGUCGAGCGGAUGAAGGGAGCUUGCUCCUGGAUUCAGCGGCGGACGGGUGAGUAAUGCCUAGGAAUCUGCCUGGUAGUGGGGGAUAACGUCCGGAAACGGGCGCUAAUACCGCAUACGUCCUGAGGGAGAAAGUGGGGGAUCUUCGGACCUCACGCUAUCAGAUGAGCCUAGGUCGGAUUAGCUAGUUGGUGGGGUAAAGGCCUACCAAGGCGACGAUCCGUAACUGGUAUGAGAGGAUGAUCAGUCACACUGGAACUGAGACACGGUCCAGACUCCUACGGGAGGCAGCAGUGGGGAAUAUUGGACAAUGGGCGAAAGCCUGAUCCAGCCAUGCCGCGUGUGUGAAGAAGGUCUUCGGAUUGUAAAGCACUUUAAGUUGGGAGGAAGGGCAGUAAGUUAAUACCUUGCUGUUUUGACGUUACCAACAGAAUAAGCACCGGCUAACUUCGUG
rnacentral:rRNA from 1 species